rnacentral:lncRNA from 1 species
CCCUGUACGAGUCUUAAGAAAAUCGAGAGAUGAAGUGCCCUGUAUCAGACUCUUAGAGCAUCAGCAGAGAUAGACAAGCUUGCCCUGUAUCAGACUCUGAGAGCAUCAGCAGAGAUAUGCAAGCUUGCCCUGUAUCAGACUCUGAGAGCAUCAGCAGAGAUAUGCAAGCUUGCCCUGUAUCAGACUCUUAGAGCAUCAGCAGAGAUAUGCAAGCUUGCCCUGUAUCAGACUCUUAGAGCAUCAGCAGAGAUAUGCAAGCUUGCCCUGUGUCAGACUCUGAGAGCAUCAGCAGAGAUAUGCAAGCUUGCCCUGUAUCAGACUCUGAGAGGAUCAGCAGAGAUAUGCAAGCUUGCCCUGUAUCAGACUCUGAGAGGAUCAGCAGAGAUGUGCAAGCUUGCCCUGUAUCAGACUCUUAGAGCAUCAGCAGAGAUGUGCAAGCUUCCCUUUGUAUCAGACUCUUUUAAGGCACCAAAGGGG